rnacentral:misc_RNA from 1 species
GAACCCUCGGGACCCCGUCUGGCCACCGCCGGCCGGGGCCCCGGCGUUGGGGAUCGGCUGCCCCAGCGGCUGCCGUCCCCGAAAUCCAGUGACGGUCUCGCCGCAUACUCCUUUGCGCAGUAACACACCUCGCACUGGACGGCCGGAGUGACCACGUCGUUAACCACCAACUUUAACAA